CCAGUAGUGUAUGCUUCUCCUAAAGACUAAGCCAUGCAUGCCUUCGAAUACGAGGAAGCAAUUCUCUCUGAAUCUGCGAACGGCUCCGCAAACCAGUUGUAAACUAUGGCAAGCAAGCACGGGGUUGGUGGCAACGCCAGCACCUGGGCGAUAUGGGUAACCCUGGUAAUUCUGAGGCUAAUACGAGAACGUAACUCCUGGCUAACCCGUAAGGGAAGGCCGGGGGACGUGUGAGUCGGCACGAAGGAACCAAGAAAGGGCACACGUUUGGACCGCGCUACAAAGGAUCAGGUCGACGCCUCCGGGCUGAAGCUUGGCCCCAGCGGCUCUUGCAAUGUGCUUCUGACCUAUCAAUUAGACGGCAGCGUAACGGACAUGCCAAGAUCACAACGGGUACAGAGGAUUAGGGUUCGAUCCUGGAGAGUGGGCCUGAGAGAUUGCUCAUACUUCUAAGGAAGGCAGCAGGCGCGCAACGUUCCCCUUGGGCAAAGCUUGAGGGCGUUAGGGGACAUAUGAAUGCUUGCCAUUAUGGUGAGCAAUUCAAAUGG
rnacentral:rRNA from 1 species